GAUGAACGCUAGCUACAGGCUUAACACAUGCAAGUCGAGGGGCAGCACGGUGUAGCAAUACACGGGUGGCGACCGGCGCACGGGUGCGUAACGCGUAUCCAACUUUCCCGUUACUCUCGGAUAGCCUUCCGAAAGGGAGAUUAAUACGAGAUGGUGUUCAGUUUCCGCAUGUUUACUGAACUAAAGAUUCAUCGGUAACGGAUAGGGAUGCGUGACAUUAGAUAGUUGGCGGGGUAACGGCCCACCAAGUCUACGAUGUCUAGGGGUUCUGAGAGGAAGGUCCCCCACACUGGAACUGAGACACGGUCCAG
rnacentral:rRNA from 1 species